CGAGGAGCUUGCUCCUCUGACGUUAGCGGCGGACGGGUGAGUAACACGUGGAUAACCUACCUAUAAGACUGGGAUAACUUCGGGAAACCGGAGCUAAUACCGGAUAAUAUAUUGAACCGCAUGGUUCAAUAGUGAAAGACGGUUUUGCUGUCACUUAUAGAUGGAUCCGCGCCGCAUUAGCUAGUUGGUAAGGUAACGGCUUACCAAGGCGACGAUGCGUAGCCGACCUGAGAGGGUGAUCGGCCACACUGGAACUGAGACACGGUCCAGACUCCUACGGGAGGCAGCAGUAGGGAAUCUUCCGCAAUGGGCGAAAGCCUGACGGAGCAACGCCGCGUGAGUGAUGAAGGUCUUCGGAUCGUAAAACUCUGUUAUUAGGGAAGAACAAAUGUGUAAGUAACUAUGCACGUCUUGACGGUACCUAAUCAGAAAGCCACGGCUAACUACGUGCCAGCAGCCGCGGUAAUACGUAGGUGGCAAGCGUUAUCCGGAAUUAUUGGGCGUAAAGCGCGCGUAGGCGGUUUUUUAAGUCUGAUGUGAAAGCCCACGGCUCAACCGUGGAGGGUCAUUGGAAACUGGAAAACUUGAGUGCAGAAGAGGAAAGUGGAAUUCCAUGUGUAGCGGUGAAAUGCGCAGAGAUAUGGAGGAACACCAGUGGCGAAGGCGACUUUCUGGUCUGUAACUGACGCUGAUGUGCGAAAGCGUGGGGAUCAAACAGGAUUA
rnacentral:rRNA from 1 species